AGUUUCGAAUCAUUCACAAUGGGCGAAAGCCUGAUGGUGCGACGCCGCGUGAGGGAUGAAGGUCUUCGGAUUGUAAACCUCUGUCACUGGGGAGAAAACGCUUUGAGUUAAUAGUUCAAAGCCUGAUUUAACCCGGAGAGGAAGCAGUGGCUAACUCUGUGCCAGCAGCCGCGGUAAUACAGAGACUGCAAGCGUUAUUCGGAUUCACUGGGCGUAAAGGGUGCGCAGGCGGCCGUGUGUGUUAGAUGUGAAAUCCCGGGGCUCAACCCCGGAACUGCGUCUAAAACUACAUGGCUAGAGUAUUGGAGAGGGUAACGGAAUUCACGGUGUAGCAGUGAAAUGCGUAGAUAUCGUGAGGAACACCAGAGGCGAAGGCGGUUACCUGGACAAUUACUGACGCUCAGGCACGAAAGCGUGGGGAGCCAA
rnacentral:rRNA from 1 species